rnacentral:rRNA from 1 species
UGGGGAAUCUUCCGCAAUGGGCGAAAGCCUGACGGAGCAACGCCGCGUGAGGGACGAAGGCCUCUGGGCUGUAAACCUCUUUUCUCAAGGAAGAAGAUAUGACGGUACUUGAGGAAUAAGCCACGGCUAAUUCCGUGCCAGCAGCCGCGGUAAUACGGGAGUGGCAAGCGUUAUCCGGAAUUAUUGGGCGUAAAGCGUCCGCAGGCGGCUUUUCAAGUCUGCUGUUAAAGCGUGGAGCUUAACUCCAUCAUGGCAGUGGAAACUGAAAGGCUUGAGUAUGGUAGGGGCAGAGGGAAUUCCCGGUGUAGCGGUGAAAUGCGUAGAUAUCGGGAAGAACCCCAGUGGCGAAGGCGCUCUGCUGGGCCAUUACUGACGCUCAUGGACGAAAGCCAGGGGAGCGAAAGGGAUUAGAUACCCCUGUAGUCA